CUUCUAUGACCAGUACACAGACAGGCCCUAUGGAUUGCCGCGUGCAAUGGGGGGACAUCCACCAUUCCGUGCUGAACAGAGACACUCACCAUCACCUCUGAUGUUUGCAGAGCUGCAGCCUGCUCGAAAUCCACCUUUGCC